rnacentral:rRNA from 1 species
GACGAACGCUGGCGGCGUGCUUAACACAUGCAAGUCGAGCGAUGAAGCACCUUCGGGUGUGAAUUAGCGGCGAACGGGUGAGGAACACGUGAAGAAUCUGCCUUCAACUCUGGGAUAACUCCGGGAAACCGGGGAUAAUACCGGAUAUGAGCAUUGAUCGCAUGAUCGGGGCUGGGAAGUUUGUCGGUUGAAGAUGAAGUCGCGGCCUAUCAGCUUGUUGGUGAGGUAAUGGCGCACCAAGGCGACGACGGGUAGCCGGCCUGAGAGGGCGACCGGCCACACUGGGACUGAGACACGGCCCAGACUCCUACGGGAGGCAGCAGUGGGGAAUAUUGGGCAAUGGAGGAAACUCUGACCCAGCGACGCCGCGUGAGGGAUGAAGGCCUUCGGGUUGUAAACCUCUUUCAGUAGGGAAGAAGCGAAAGUGACGGUACCUACAGAAGAAGCACCGGCUAACUAUGUGCCAGCCGCCGCAGUAA